rnacentral:rRNA from 1 species
UGGUCUAUUUAAAAGGAAGUAAAAGUCGUAACAAGGUUUCCGUAGGUGAACCAUGCGGAAGGAUCAUUAUUGAAUACGUUGGGUUCUGAUGCUGGCUCUUCCACAGGGCAUGUGCUCGUCCCCAUCUAUUUAUCUUCUYUUUGGUGCCACCUUUUUGUAGUCUUUUUGAAUGAAUAGCAGUUAUUGGAGSGUGAAGGCGCGCAAGCGCACUUGCMCCUUGUCUGUCUUUGCUUUCUUCAGAGGGGACUACGUUUUCAUAUACACUAUAAAGUUACAGAAUUGUCUUUUAAAGAUUGUGCUUGUCGCCGUCCAUUAAAACCUAUACAACUUUCAGCAACGGAUUCUCUUGGCUCUCCCCAUCGAUGAAGAACGCAGCGAAAUGCGAUAAGUAAUGUGAAUUGCAGAAUUCAGUGAAUCAAUCGAAUCUUUGAAACGCACCUUGCCCCCUUUUGGUAUUCCGAAUGGVCAUGCCUUGUUUGAGGUGUCAUUAAAAUUAUCAACCUUGCUUUGCUUUUACUAAGCAUUGCUUGGCUUGGAUGUGGGGGGUUUUUUCGCUGGCUUCCUUCAGUGGAUGGUCUGCUCCCCUUAAAUGCAUUAGUGGGAUUCUCUUGUGGACCGUCACUUGGUGGGAUAAUUAUCUAUGCCAUGCGACUUUGGAAGCAAACUUUAUGGGAACCUGCUUAUAACCGUCCCUCACAAGGACAACUUAUUGACAUUUUGACCUCAAAUCACGUAGGACUACCCGCUGAACUUAAGCAUAUCAAUAAGCGGAGGAAAAGAAACUAACAAGGAUUCCCCUAGUAACUGCGAGUGAAGCGGGAAAAGCUCAAAUUUAAAAUCUGGCGGUUCUUGUAGCCGUCCGAGUUGUAAUUUAGAGAAGUGUUAUCCGCGCUGGACCGUGUACAAGUCUCCUGA